UAGGGGUUGUCAUGACCUCUGUGCCGCCGCUAACGCAUUAAGUAUUCCGCCUGGGGAGUACGGUCGCAAGAUUAAAACUCAAAGGAAUUGACGGGGGCCCGCACAAGUAGCGGAGCAUGUGGUUUAAUUCGAAGCAACGCGAAGAACCUUACCUAGACUUGACAUCUCCUGAAUUACCAUGUAAUGUGGGAAGUCCCUUCGGGGACAGGAAGACAGGUGGUGCAUGGUUGUCGUCAGCUCGUGUCGUGAGAUGUUGGGUUAAGUCCCGCAACGAGCGCAACCCUUAUUGUUAGUUGCUACCAUUUAGUUGAGCACUCUAGCGAGACUGCCCGGGU
rnacentral:rRNA from 1 species